rnacentral:rRNA from 1 species
AACGUAGGAGACAAACGUUGUCCGGAAUUACUGGGCGUAAAGAGCUCGUAGGUGGUUUGUCGCGUUGUUCGUGAAAACUCACAGCUUAACUGUGGGCGUGCGGGCGAUACGGGCAGACUGGAGUACUGCAGGGGAGACUGGAAUUCCUGGUGUAGCGGUGGAAUGCGCAGAUAUCAGGAGGAACACCGGUGGCGAAGGCGGGUCUCUGGGCAGUAACUGACGCUGAGGAGCGAAAGCGUGGGGAGCGAACAGG